GAAUGGAGGCCCGAACCCACGCACGUUGAAAAGUGCGGGGAUGAGGUGUGGGUAGCGGAGAAAUUCCAAUCGAACCUGGAGAUAGCUGGUUCUCUCCGAAAUAGCUUUAGGGCUAGCCUCAUGUUGUGAGAGUCUUGGAGGUAGAGCACUGAUUGGACUAGGGGCCCCCAACGGGUUACCGAAUUCAGUCAAACUCCGAAUGCCAAAGACUUAUCCAUGGGAGUCAGACUGCGAGUGAUAAGAUCCGUAGUCAAA
rnacentral:rRNA from 1 species